GCAUUUUAGCCGAAUGUUCCUGUUCAAGAGGAAGGAUAAAGCAUUCUGUACUUUACCUAUGCAGGCCCCCAGUGCUGCUGCUCCUGCCUCUCCAGAGAUGCCCUACACCCCUCUGCCUUCGGGAUCCCGRGACCUCACCAACCACAGAGGCAUUUUGGGGAAAUGUCGCUACAUUUACUACGGAAAACAUUCCGAGGGCAACAGAUUCAUCCGAGAUGACCAGCUGUGAGCACAGCACUGUUUUGUGCCUCUUCAGCCCCUCCACAUAAGAAGCACAAACCACAUCUAAAUUUUAAGCAUGUAACUAAAGUCCUCUAGUGCCUUCUGCUGACUUUGCCAAGCCUGUCAAGAUCAUCCUUCUAUCUUCGUCUGAGUAGUCACACAGAGAUUGACAUGAUUGCCUUUAAGCAGGUCCCAUCCACCAGCGUGACAGACAGCUGCAGCCGAGCACCCAGCCUGACAGGAGGAGCUCCGUGAUGGAUUGCCUGGUCCACGCUCUGCUCGCAGGAGAGCAGGGCUCACACCUGGGGCUGCUCUGAGCUGCUCCGGCGGCGGCGCCUCCGCCAAACCCCGCGUUUAUCUCUGCCCGGCCUGUUGGGCCASAGCGCCCGGUGAUACCAAAGUGUUCAUGAAACAGAGAGGCUGUCAUUUCACAUGAAAAAGCCCUUAUCUGUUCUUAUUUCUUUCCCUGUGAAUUAAGUGCUUGUGUUUCUAUCAUCUAGUACGUGCUUGCACAAAUCCUUUCACAGUUUGGUGGUACAGCGCUCACCCCCAAAUGAGCCUGGAUGGAUUACUUUUUCUUUCAGCAGGGAAAAAUAUAUAUCCUGAAAACAUUUUGGCCAUGUAAAGCAGUGUCAAUUUGUAUAGAUGUUUAUAUGCAAAGGAAAAAGAUUUAAGCAAUUUCCCAGACAAACAAAAUUUUCUAAUUCUGGAAUUGCAUCUCAUCAUUCACAAACUCCUACCUUCAGAAAAGUGAACAUUUCUUAAUGCUGUAGAAUUAUGGCAUGGCUUAACUGUCUAUCCUUCGGAGAAGUCCUCAUUAGUGAUAUUGACAGUGGRUAUUAUUCCCAAUUUAUUGCACAAGGUAUUUUUAGUUUGUA